rnacentral:lncRNA from 1 species
UUCUUGCAUAAUUUCCUUUACCACAACCAGGCAUGUAUGCAAUAAAUUUUGGAGGUAACUCACCUGCCGAUCGUACUUUAGCCUCGAUUAACCAACGGAUGUCAGCAGGUAUGUUAUUCCUCAUGAGUAAUCGCAUGCGUUCGGACCGAGCUUUAUAGAUCGUAAGGAGGGCAUUCUGAGGAAGUGAAGGGAAUCGCUUGCGAAGCUUCGCUAGAAUCUCGUUUCUGUCCAUACCUUCGCCUCAAAAUAUCAGUUAUUAUGGGAAACUGAAGUAACCGACUUGAUUGUCACGGAGUACCGUUAUCCGCCACUUCACCGGGGUAACAAACUAAAGCACACAAAUAGAAAAAUAAAUUAAAACACACAAAGAAAAUUAAAAUCGUCCUCUUAUUGAAUUUACCUCAAGCUCCAACUGGAUGUCGUAAACACUUCUCUCAAUGUCACUGAGUUGGCGUUCUAAACCCUCAACAUAGGCUACUAACUCUGGUGGUUGUAGAGCCCAAAUGCGUUGUGUUUUACAAAAUUGAAUCUGCCUUUUGAGAUGAGUUUUGACACGUUGAAGUGGUUUAAGAAUGCUCAGGAGGAACGGUCUAAGUAUGAGACUCAUGAUUAAAAAUGAUAAGAGAAAACUUAAUGGUAAAAUAAACACACUUAUGCAAAAACAAUUUCAAUUAGCAAAAGAAUAAUAAUAAAAAGAAAGAAAGAAAAAUCAAAUCAACGAAAAGAAAAAAAAAUCA